rnacentral:misc_RNA from 1 species
AACCUUAUGGACCUGCGGGCGUAUACCUGCGGAAGGAUCAUUAACCUUUCGAAUCAGGGUGCGGCGCGGCCCCCGAGGAGCGGAAACAAUCCUUGGGAGGUAUGCGGGGGCUUCGAGCCCCCCAUUUACGCACGCACGACUGCCAUCCUUACUUUACGAGCACCUUCUGUUCUCCCUCGGCGGGGCAACCUGCCGUUGGAACCGAAUAAACUCUUUUUGCAUCUAGCAUUACCUGUUCCG